CCUACGGGAGGCAGCAGUGGGGAAUUUUGGACAAUGGGCGCAAGCCUGAUCCAGCCAUGCCGCGUGUGGGAAGAAGGCCUUCGGGUUGUAAGCCACUUUUGUCAGGGAAGAAACGGCCUUUUCUAAUACAGAGGGCUAAUGACGGUACCUGAAGAAUAAGCACCGGUUAACUACGUGCCAGCAGCCGCGGUAAUACGUAGGGUGCAAGCGUUAAUCGGAAUUACUGGGCGUAAAGCGUGCGCAGGCGGCUUUGCAAGACAGAUGUGAAAUCCCCGGGCUCAACCUGGGAACUGCAUUUGUGACUGCAUGGCUAGAGUACGGUAGAGGGGGAUGGAAUUCCGCGUGUAGCAGUGAAAUGCGUAGAUAUGCGGAGGAACACCGAUGGCGAAGGCAAUCCCCUGGACCUGUACUGACGCUCAGGCACGAAAGCGUGGGGAGCAAACAGGAUUAGAUACCCUGGUAGUCCACGCCCUAAACGAUGUCAACUGGUUGUUGGACGGCUUGCUGUUCAGUAACGAAGCUAACGCGUGAAGUUGACCGCCUGGGGAGUACGGCCGCAAGGUUGAAACUUAAAGGAAUUGACGGCUGAGAGAGCGAGACGACGACGAGGGAGGAGG
rnacentral:rRNA from 1 species